GAAGACUUAUCCUUAUUCAUCCAUUUUCAAGAUAUUUUACACAUUCCAAAGCACAUACAUAUCCUUCCUUUCUUUCACUAAUUUUCGGCCAACAACUAGCAAAAAUCAUCUUCAUUUCAAGCCAUUUUCGUGAUGAUCAAAGUGUACUUUCAAGGAGCAUAAGAAGAUCUAAGACAUCUCCAAGUUGAACCAUCUAUUUUCAUUCAUCUUAGAGCUUUCAACCAUCAUAAUCUUCAUCAUCUCUGCUCAUCAUCUUCAUCUAGAUCUUCCCUAGCCACAAGAGCUAGUAAAAAUGAUAUGUUUUGAUAACAUGGAAAAGGAAUUAGUGGACCAUGUCCGGAAUUUCAGACAAGAAAACAAGUAUCAAGACUCCAUGCCAUCUUUUGAAGGGUUUGCCUGUUAUAUACCGCCUCUUUGCGACAAUAUAGUGGUAAAAGCCUUAGUAGUUUAAAACUUGCGUUUUGAUGUAUGAAACAAUGACAAUUUAUUUUCAGCUAAUGGUUUGUAACCGAUACACUUAACUCGUGUUGUGUACUUUUGAAACAAUCAUGGCAAUGGCAUUGGA
rnacentral:lncRNA from 1 species